AUUGAACGCUGGCGGAAUGCUUUACACAUGCAAGUCGAACGGCAGCACGGGAGCUUGCUCCUGGUGGCGAGUGGCGAACGGGUGAGUAAUGCGUCGGAACGUACCGAGUAAUGGGGGAUAACGCAGCGAAAGUUGUGCUAAUACCGCAUACGCCCUGAGGGGGAAAGUGGGGGAUCGCAAGACCUCACGUUAUUCGAGCGGCCGAUGUCGGAUUAGCUAGUUGGUGAGGUAAAGGCUCACCAAGGCGACGAUCCGUAGCUGGUCUGAGAGGAUGAUCAGCCACACUGGAACUGAGACACGGUCCAGACUCCUACGGGAGGCAG
rnacentral:rRNA from 1 species